rnacentral:rRNA from 1 species
UGCCAGACUCCUACGGGAGGCAGCAGUGGGGAAUAUUGCACAAUGGGGGAAACCCUGAUGUAGCGACGCCGCGUGAGCGAAGAAGUAUUUCGGUAUGUAAAGCUCUAUCAGCAGGGAAGAAAAUGACGGUACCUGACUAAGAAGCUCCGGCUAAAUACGUGCCAGCAGCCGCGGUAAUACGUAUGGAGCAAGCGUUAUCCGGAUUUACUGGGUGUAAAGGGAGCGCAGGCGGCUUUGCAAGUCUGAUGUGAAAGGCCGGGGCUCAACCCCGGGACUGCAUUGGAAACUGUAAAGCUAGAGUGCCGGAGAGGGAAGCGGAAUUCCUAGUGUAGCGGUGAAAUGCGUAGAUAUUAGGAGGAACACCAGUGGCGAAGGCGGCGUACUGGACGGCAACUGACGCUGAGGCUCGAAAGCGUGGGGAGCAAACAGGAUUAGAUACCCCCGUAUGA